rnacentral:lncRNA from 1 species
UGGUGGUCAACGUGAAGCCUGGAAACUCGCCCUUCGACUACAACUAUGCCGCCACCGAAACCCAGCUCCAUGACGACCCCAACGUCGCCCUUUUCUUCUUGGAGAAGGACCUCCGCCCCGGCGCCAAGAUGAACCUCCACUUCACCGAAACCACCUCCGGCGCCACCUUCCUCCCCCGCCAAGAGGCCGACUCCAUCCCCUUCUCUUCAUCCAAGCUCCCGGCGAUACUCGAUCGAUUUUCGAUAGAAUCCGACUCCGUUGAAGCCGAGGCGAUGAAGAAGACGCUUAAUG